GGGAAUAUUGGACAAUGGGCGCAAGCCUGAUCCAGCCAUGCCGCGUGAGUGAUGACGGCCCUAGGGUUGUAAAGCUCUUUUACCCGGGAAGAUAAUGACGGUACCGGGAGAAUAAGCCCCGGCUAACUUCGUGCCAGCAGCCGCGGUAAUACGAAGGGGGCUAGCGUUGUUCGGAAUUACUGGGCGUAAAGCGCACGUAGGCGGAAAUUUAAGUCAGGGGUGAAAUCCCGAGGCUCAACCUCGGAACUGCCUUUGAUACUGGGUUUCUUGAGUCCGGACGAGGUGAGUGGAACUGCGAGUGUAGAGGUGAAAUUCGUAGAUAUUCGCAAGAACACCAGUGGCGAAGGCGGCUCACUGGUCCGGAACUGACGCUGAGGUGCGAAAGCGUGGGGAGCAAA
rnacentral:rRNA from 1 species